rnacentral:lncRNA from 12 species
AUGUUUGAUUUGGGAUUGGGUUUCGCGGCUGUCGAUCAAACACAGGCGUCUCCGAAGCAAUUACCCUCCCCCUCUUUUGCGGAUAGGUUGAACAGCAUGGCUCAGAAACAAAAAGAGGCCCUUACGAUAUGCAAGAUGUCCCAGUUUAAGUGUAGAAUAACUUUGUUUCGCUUGAAAUUAAGUUUAUGUGAAUUAAUAUGCGCUUUUAAUAAUGGUCAGCGCAGAGCAGAAGAUCUGAAACCCCAAAAGUAUCCAUUUUUGCUAGACACUGGCCUAAAGGCGAAGGAUUUCUCCCUCUUUAUUCCCGAGUCUUUCGCUGCAGACCCUGGAAUCCUCUCUGCUCAGCAGUUAUUGAAGUGAGGAGAAGGUAUGUCUCCAUGGCAACCAGGUAUGAUUCUCAUCCAUUUUAUUUAUUUAUUUAGUUGCCCAUCCAUCAGUGUUUGCAUUUCUUUAGCCUUCUCUAAUCUUCCAAAGCAUCUCUGUAUGAGUUCCUGAGAAAGAAAUCUGCUACUAUCAAGGGUCAGUCGUCUCAUAUUGUUUUUGUUUAUUUGGAUGCAUGUCAUCUGUUACCACAGCAACCACUCACUUUUCUCCCUGGAGUGCACACAGAAAUCACAUCUUUGCUGUCACAAAAAGUAGGACAUGUGCAAAAAAAAAAAAUGCUCACACAGGCUACAACACCAUACAGAUGUGAGGCCCACAUGCAUAAACUUGUAUUUGCUCACAGCUCAUGGGCAAAGUACAGUGGAGUGCAAUUAGAUCACUAGUUGCUGUUAUACAAGGUGCUUAGAAUCCUUGUCAGACUAAAAAAUUCAUUUAAUCUGGUAAAAACUACAUUUUAAUGUUGGUGAAUCAUACAAAUUCUCACAAAAUCUGUCCGUACCUGCUCUCAAAAUCCAAAGAAAUAAAGAGAACAUUUUUUUUUUAAAUCAAGAAUGUUUGUCGAACCAUUCAAUUGCAUUGUGAGAAAUAAAUAAUAAUAAAUAAAUAAAUAAAUAAUAAUAAUAAUAAAACAAUCAAUUGUUUAGUCUGGUAUUUGAGAAGAUUGUAUUUUGUUAAAGUUACUAAAUAAAUAUAUCUAAACAAAUUAAGAAAAUAAUGUAGAUGGAAAAAAUGAAAUGUAAAAUGAAAACGUUGCAAUGCAAAAAUCCCAGUUGUUUUCAAAUAUGCUUCAUUUUUUUAAUGCAAAUUAUAAUUUUGAUUAUAUUAAAUACAUAUGUUGUUUUUUUUGUCUUCUAGGGUGAAAUGUGACCUGGGUAUAUUUACUGAGAUGCAUUCAGGUAGGGCUCUCAUAAAUGUUGAGCUAAUGCUUUGAAUGGAAACAUAUAUAAACAUCUUUAUACUUUGGUGACAAUUUUUAAAAUGCCCCCAGGAAAGGCAAUAACUGAUAGUAGCUUGUCCAUUGCAACUCUACAGUUGCAAGGCUAAUAAAAGCACACAAGAGGGCAGUAUGGCACUGCUACGAUAUGAUCUGCUUAGUAAUUUUAAUCCAGUUUUGUGUAGAGAAAUGGAUAUUUUAAUAGUACGGCUGUUAUGCAGUGUUAGUUUUUCGUGUGUGUUCUUCAAGUGAGCUCAUGUGUAGAACGAUUGUGAUGAUAUUAAAACUGUUUUGACUGUGUAAUUUCUUUAGGUGGGUUCUGUAUAUUGUUGUCUGUUUACCUGACUACAAAAAAUAUUUGUGUGCUUAAGCCAUGCUUAAAAAAUGUCAGUGUCUUUAUUGUCCUUUACAGCACAAAAUAUCAAACCAAGAGCCAUUUAUUUCAAAGAAAGUUUUCAUGCAAAACAUUUUAUGAAAAGGUAGUUUUAUAUUUUGCUAUAUGAGGCAG